UAAUUCGGAGGGGGCAAGCGUUAUUCGGAAUUAUUGGGCGUAAAGGGCGCGUAGGCGGCCUGCCAAGUCUUGGGUGAAAUCCCUCGGCCUAACCGAGGAACUGCCUUUGAAACUGUCAGGCUUGAGGCCGGGAGAGGGUAGUGGAAUUCCCAGUGUAGCGGUGAAAUGCGUAGAUAUUGGGAGGAACACCAGUGGCGAAGGCGACUACCUGGACCGGUUCUGACGCUGAGGCGCGAAAGCGUGGGGAGCAAACAGGAUUAGAUACCCUGGUAGUCCACGCCGUAAACGAUGGGUACUCGGUGCAGCGGGUAUUGAUCCCUGCUGUGCCUUAGCUAACGCGUUAAGUACCCCGCCUGGGGAGUACGGUCGCAAGGCUG
rnacentral:rRNA from 1 species